UACGUAGGGCGCGAGCGUUGUCCGGAAUUAUUGGGCGUAAAGAGCUCGUAGGCGGCCUGUUGCGUCCGCUGUGAAAUCCCAGGGCUCAACCCUGGGCGUGCAGUGGAUACGGGCAGGCUGGAGGCAGGCAGGGGAGAACGGAAUUCCCGGUGUAGCGGUGAAAUGCGCAGAUAUCAGGAGGAACACCGAUGGCGAAGGCAGGUCUCUGGGCCAUUAACUGACACUGAGAAG
rnacentral:rRNA from 1 species